rnacentral:rRNA from 1 species
UAACUGAAGAGUUUGAUCAUGGCUCAGAUUGAACGCUGGCGGCAGGCCUAAGACAUGCAAGUCGAACGGUAACGACACUAGCUUGCUAGUGGUCGACGAGUGGCGGACGGGUGAGUAACGCGUAGGAAUCUACCUAGUAGUGGGGGAUAGCCAAGGGAAACUUUGGGUAAUACCGCAUACGAUCUAAGGAUGAAAGGGGGCCUCUCUUUGAAGCUCUCGCUAUUAGAUGAGCCUGCGUAAGAUUAGCUUGUUGGUGGGGUAAUGGCCCACCAAGGCGACGAUCUUUAGCUGGUCUGAGAGGAUGAUCAGUCACACUGGAACUGAGACACGGUCCAGACUCCUACGGGAGGCAGCAGUCGGGAAUAUUGGACAAUGGGGGAAACCCUGAUCCAGCCAUGCCGCGUGUGUGAAGAAGGCCCUAGGGUUGUAAAGCACUUUUAGUAGUGAGGAAGGCUCAGUAGUUAAUACCUACUGGGAUUGACGUUAGCUACAGAAAAAGCACCGGCUAAUUUCGUGCCAGCAGCCGCGGUAAUACGAAAGGUGCAAGCGUUAAUCGGAAUUACUGGGCGUAAAGCGCGCGUAGGCGGCUUGGUAAGUUGGAUGUGAAAGCCCCGGGCUCAACCUGGGAACUGCAUCCAAAACUGCCUAGCUAGAGUAUGGUAGAGGAUGGCGGAAUUUCCUGUGUAGCGGUGAAAUGCGUAGAUAUAGGAAGGAACAUCAGUGGCGAAGGCGGCCAUCUGGACCAAUACUGACGCUGAGGUGCGAAAG